CAUUAGCGGAGGAAAAGAAACCAACAGGGAUUGCCCUAGUAACGGCGAGUGAACAGGCAAGAGCUCAGAUUUGAAAGGCACUUUUGUGCCGUUGUAUUCUGAAGUUAGGGUCCUGAGAAACGAUGCUUAAGUCUUCUGGAAAGGAGCGCCAUGGAGGGUGAUAGCCCCGUCUAGCAUUGACCUCAUAUAGGAUCUUAACAUGGAGUCGAGUUGUUUGGGAAUGCAGCUCAAAUGGGUGGUAUGCUCCAUCUAAAGCUAAAUAUCUGCGAGAGACCGAUAGUAAACAAGUACUGUGAGGGAAAGAUGAAAAGAACUUUGAAAAGAGAGUGAAAAAGUACGUGAAAUUGUUGAAAUGGAAGGGUAGGCCGCUAACCAUGUAGAGCCGUGUUUGGGGGGAAGAUAAAUGCUGUAGAAUGUAGCUCCUCGGAGUAUUAUAGAUGCAGUUCAUAUUCCCACCCGAGCGCGAGGAUCUCAUGUCAUUCAAUUCGGGGGG
rnacentral:rRNA from 1 species